rnacentral:rRNA from 1 species
CCUACGGGGGGCUGCAGUGGGGAAUAUUGGACAAUGGGGGCAACCCUGAUCCAGCCAUGCCGCGUGUGUGAAGAAGGCCCCCGGGUUGUAAAGCACUUUCAGUGAGGAAGAACGCCUGGUGGUUAAUACCCAUCAGGAAAGACAUCACUCACAGAAGAAGCACCGGCUAACUCCGUGCCAGCAGCCGCGGUAAUACGGAGGGUGCGAGCGUUAAUCGGAAUUACUGGGCGUAAAGCGCGCGUAGGUGGCUUGAUAAGCCGGUUGUGAAAGCCCCGGGCUCAACCUGGGAACGGCAUCCGGAACUGUCAAGCUAGAGUGCAGGAGAGGAAGGUAGAAUUCCCGGUGUAGCGGUGAAAUGCGUAGAGAUCGGGAGGAAUACCAGUGGCGAAGGCGGCCUUCUGGACUGACACUGACACUGAGGUGCGAAAGCGUGGGUAGCAAACAGGAUUAGAUACCCUUGUAGUC